GUUUCUGAAUUAAAAAAUAUUACAUAGAAUAAGAAACUUUAUUUUCUGGAUUAUUAAAUUACACAGGAAGUCCUACUGUUGACUGGGUAACCAAUGUUGGAGGUAUUGGUAAAGGAAUUUUAACAAGCAUCUUUUAUCAGUAAAAGUUGGAAUCCUGCACAUUGAACCUAUUUCUGGAAAUCCAUUGUGUGAUCAGUUUCAGUUCAAAGGUGAAACAAAAGUUUGAUAAAGUUAAUCUCUUGCUUCUCGUCGGAUGUUUUGUCUAUCGAUAUGAAGUCGGUGCUAAUAGAAA